rnacentral:rRNA from 1 species
GAUGAACGCUGGCGGCGUGCUUAACACAUGCAAGUCGAACGGAAAGGCUCCUGCUUGCAGGGGUACUCGAGUGGCGAAAGGGUGAGUAACACGUGGGUGAUCUGCCCUGCACUUCGGGAUAAGCCUGGGAAACUGGGUCUAAUACCGGAUAGGACGAUGGUUUGGAUGCCAUUGUGGAAAGUUUUUCGGUGUGGGAUGAGCUCGCGGCCUAUCAGCUUGUUGGUGGGGUAAUGGCCUACCAAGGCGUCGACGGGUAGCCGGCCUGAGAGGGUGUACGGCGACAUUGGGACUGAGAGACGGCCCAGACUCCUACGGGAGGCAGCAGUGGGGAAUAUUGCACAAUGGGCGCAAGCCUGAUGCAGCGACGCCGCGUGGGGGAUGACGGCCUUCGGGUUUUAAACUCCUUUCGCUAGGGACGAAGCGCAAGUGACGGUACCUGGAGAAGAAGCACCGGCUAACUACGUG